AUGCCAAUCGUACCAAGACUUCAACGUCUUUUCAUGGUCGAAGAGACGGCCAGACAGAUGACAUGGCACAAAACGGGCAAAAGAACCGAACUAGAUGCAGAUGGGAAUCUGAUGAUUGUACACACAUCGGAUGGUGUUGCGUGGAAAAAGUUUGAUGAAUUACAUGGUGACAAAGCGGCAGAUCCGAGGCAUCCUCGAGUCGGCAUCAGCACGGAUGGGUUCAGUGUGUUUGGUAUGACGGCAGCCCAAUACAGUUGUUGGCCCGUAUUUGUCUUUCCACUCAAUCUCCCCCCCGGACAGAUUAUGCAAAGAAAGAACAUUUUCCUGACGUUGAUAAUUCCAGGGCCCAACUAUCCGGGGAAAAAUAUGAAUGUGUACAUGCAACCGCUUAAGAACGAAUUGCAAGAAGCCUGGGAUAAUGGGUUCAAGACAUACGAUGCCUAUAGCAAACGGAACUUCAUAAUGCGUGUCUGGUACAUGUACUCGACGCAUGACUUGCCGGCGUAUGCGCUAUUCGUUGGCUGGUGUGUGCAUGGAAGGUUCCCGUGCCCCACAUGCAAGGGAGCUCUUGAGUUUCGUUGGCUUCAGGCCGGUCGCAAGUUUUCUUGCUUCGACAUGCAUAGAGAGUUCCUAAAUCCUCGCCAUAAGUUCAGGAAAGACAAGAAGAACUUCAUCAGAGGUAGAGUUGUCAAAAACUCUGCACCACAUGCAUUGACAGGCCAACAGACCCUGGAUCAGUUAAACGCUCUCGAGCCAGAUCCCUAG
rnacentral:rRNA from 1 species